GCUGCCUUGCUCCUUUCACCACAUGAAGACCAUGAGGACAGCAUCAUUUCUGAACCAAAGUGGGGCCCUCACCAAACACCAGACCAUUGGCACCAUAGUCUGGGACUUCUCAAGAAGGAUCUGCCUGCCUCUUCCUGAGUGUUGUGACUGAAGGAGCUCACCGCCACGUCCCUGCCUGUUUCUUUUUCAGUGUGAUUGAUUACAUUUCUUCUCCUAUUUGCUAU